AGCGCGACCGGGUCGACGCCGCGGGUGACCACGAGAUAGUCGCGCAGCACGACGGAGUGGCGGUUCUC
rnacentral:sRNA from 1 species